GGAAUCUUCCACAAUGGACGAAAGUCUGAUGGAGCAACGCCGCGUGAGUGAAGAAGGGUUUCGGCUCGUAAAACUCUGUUGUUAAAGAAGAACAUAUCUGAGAGUAACUGUUCAGGUAUUGACGGUAUUUAACCAGAAAGCCACGGCUAACUACGUGCCAAG
rnacentral:rRNA from 1 species